AGCACGCUCAAAGCGUCUGAGACAGCGUUAAACGGUUAGGACCGCUUCGCUAAAGUUUGAGUCUCAAUGUGAUACGCUAACGUGGCUGCAUUGGCUUUUUAACUGGCUGACCAAUCAGCACUUGAGCGUCGUCGUCUGCUUCAAAAUGUCAGCUUGCUUGUUUUGCAAGAAAGCAAGACUUCUUUUACACUCUAAAACUAAAAAAUCACGUCAAAUUCGCUCACAAAACUCGAGGAAAAUUUACUACGCGCUGGAGCGCUCAAGUUGGACUCAGACAAAGAGGGCAAAGUAAACGAAACAAGGCGCGAACUCUAGGAAAUUAUCUAUUUCCUGUACCGCGGCCACGUGAUCACAACCAGCCCUCAGGUUGAGUGACGUCAUAGCACAACGUUGGGUCACGUGUCGUGUAGCCAGUGGGUGCAUGCAUGCGUGCAAUGAAUGCCCCUAUUCCGCGUCUUUUACGCCAGUAGUGAAUGAGUAACCUUGAAUUUUCUUUUAUUGCGAGAGUGACUGCAGACCCCGGCAGUCGCGCAACAACUACACAGUAUAGUAGAAAGAAAGUAUUAGUACGGGCUAAGCAACCAGUGAGGUUUAGCGGCGAACGGCGGGGUUUUGUUGGUACGAGACAUCCAGGAAAUGUAAGCCGCAUCUUAUCAAGUAUUGGCGGUCGGCACGCAAUUCGGCGAGCAUGGAGCACUGCCCGUCGUGUAACUGGAAGAUACUACGACACUUCUGAGGCAGCCAUCAUGACGACCAGCAGCGCCACCCGGAACAAGCGAGAGAGGAGGAACCCGCAGAGGGCGCACGGCGGGGCGUAGAUGUUUGCCCGGUUGCCCCAGCGGCGCUGGCACAUGGCGCUGGUGUGCCUUGGGGUCGUUGUGGUCCUCUUCCUGACGCAGGAGGUCUUGCGCCGCUACCACGAGUACCAGAAGUUCUACCGCUUUCAGGAUUACGCGUCCCGGGUUGAGGGCUUGAGGAAAGAGAUGUCGAUGCUCGAGGCAAGCGCCAGGCAAUUGGAGAACCGGACAGCCGCCGUGAAGCUCGACUUGCUCGUCGGCCGCAAGCGGACCCGCUACAAAGACACCUCCCGACUGGCCGCUCACUAGCAUCAGCACUCGAAGCGGCUAGAGCUGUGCCACAUUCGUCACGCUUACAGCAAUGCAGAGUGCCAGGAACAGGAGGCGUGGCAUAAGGUCGGAGUUCAGCUUGUGCGACUCCUUUGUGUUGCGUCUGCCGCUGAUCCGCUGCCGAAUAGGCGUGGGUUACGUCACAUUCGUCACGCACACAGAUGUGAAGAGCGAGAGGAGCAAAAGGUGUGACAUGAAGUUUGAGUUCAGCACGUGCGAUUCGUUCGUGUGCUGCGAGGCGAAGUCUCGCAAGUGCUGGCGAGUGGUUGCGAACAUUCUGCUGUGCGGUGUUUGCCAAGUUUGUGGUAUGGUGUAGAGUGUAGUUUUUUUUUUCUAGAUGCUUGUUCGCUGUCGCGAAUUUAGCUUUAAAAAGUGCAAUCCUACUGCCGAUAAGUUAGGCGACACUGCUAUGUACAAAUGUCGGGUCUCUAGAGAACUUCUAAGUCAAAUGUCUAACAAUUAUUAUCUAUGCAUCUGUUUUGUUUGCAACAUUAGUUCUAUGUUUGAUUCAUCGGUAUUUGCUUGUCGUCAAUCCAAGCUACUAACUGUUUCAGUGGAUUUCUUAACCAUUCCACAAGCAGCUGACAGUCCCUUCACAAAGGUUGAGGCUGCCAAGCUAUUGCGUGACGAGGAAAGUUCCUCGAUUGCGUGGGCCAUCAACAUGCCCACUAGCGUUUGCUUCUCGAGUAAUAGUGUCGUUAAAGGAAGUUUGCAAAGUUCGUAGUUGUCAAGUUGCCUGUAUUCGGUAUGAGCAAACAGUGCUGCCACUUGUUAGGCAUGCCAGAACAAACAAAUGUAAGACCCGACAAAUUUUUUGUGGCUUACACUUGAAAGUGACAACAGCAAAAGUUGUGAAAUGUGCUGCGGAACGAUGCUCUUAGUUUUAUUUUUUGUUUGUUGACUAAGGAUGACUAAGCGAAUGCCUUACAGUUGUGGAUCAAAAUUACUAUGUAUUUGAAUGAACAAAAGAAUUUGCGGUGGAAAAAGAAAUGCUCAAAGAAUUGUGGCUUUUGUGCGACUUGAUUGUCGAGUAGAUGCUGAAAUACAUCAAAGGAUCCUUAGACUGCCAUAUUUCAAGCGAGCUGAAUAGGUUAAUAUCUCACAUCUGAGAUAUUUGAAAGCACAGUGGACUUGCACUAAUCCUAACUUAGAAUAAAAUCCUGGUGGUUUCGAACAUACAUAAAAAAUUUGUUGCUGUGGCGAGCCUGCAUAUAUAAGAUUUGCGGUGCUUGUUCACUUUGACAAAAGCAGGCCGUCAAGCAGGCAUUCACGAAGCCGGAACAGUUGAAAUGAGCCUACAUUUGAUGGCUGCUGUCUCGUGUGUUUACAGCAACGCUCUCAAACCAUAGUUUCUUCAUUUCCCGCAGUUCAAGCUCGUUCACACAAAGAUUGGUAGUCUCUAGAAACCUGAAUUAUGAGAUUUUACUGUAACUCUUCUUGUUUAAUGUCGCCGACAACGGGUGUCGUCUCCUUGCCUACACUGCACGAGCGGGUCUCAUGCAGCCCAAUGUUCACACUGUUGUUUGUAAUAUAAAGAAGCUGGCAUUUGCUACGAAAUAGCCAUGUCAUUGCUCACAAUGUCUACGACGUGUAGUUGAUCUACAUCAAUUGCUACUUACACGCACCGGGGAUUCAAGGUUUACGGAAUUUACAACCUGCAGAAAGUGAUUGUACGCUGAUGACGUGGCAGUUGUGUAUGUUGAAUGACCUAUCAUAGCAUGUCGAUACACUAAGUGCAUCUUUUUUUCGUGUCUGAAACAUUCCAUCGCAGUUAUAAAAAGUCAACACGCUCAUGCUCUUUUUUUCUUCCAGCAGUGUGUUGGAAGAUUAGAAGUCCAUUCUCAUCACAGUUGACAUGUCAAGUCAUGGUUGACAAUUUGCUAUAUCGUGUUGACUAUGUGCCAGAGAUAAUAAUGUUGGUGUUGUGUGGAGAUGGCCAAUAUCAAUCGGUUGCAUCAACUCUAUGGCAUGUUUGUAAAACUCAGAUUUCCGGGUGUUUCCUAAAGAGUGCAAAUUGUGUGUUUGUUCAGUAACACUGUUGUCGAUAUUAAUAUUCUGGACAUCGAUGGCAAGAUUGUAUUGUUGUUUGGGGAAGUUGAAACCCUCAGUUGAUAAGAAUGUUAGGUGUUGUGAUCGUUGUCAAAAAUGUUGCGAAAGUGGUUCAACAGAGAUUGUGUAGGUGUUGUGGUUACAGCUUUAUUAACAAUAGCAUUAUUGCGGUUCAUGGUAAUGUGAAACAAGUAUGUGCAAUAGCUUGGCUCCAAAUGCGUCGGAGAUUGGGCACCGUGCAAAGUUGCGCCAGACCAAUUAAAGGCUUUUAUUUUACUGUGAAACUUCUUGAGCCAUGGAACUCAAAUGAAUUCCGUUUCAUUGUGACUUUUUGUAAUGACUGUCACAUGCGGGGCGUUAUCAAUUCAUUUAAAUGUUCCUCCAUUUUAAAGACACACUUAAAAUUAAAUGCCGGUUGUCAUGUUGCUUCUGUACACAGCUGAGUGCCACGUGCUAUUAAAAGAUAUCAAUCUUUAAAUCCAAAUUCAUAGGUUAACUUAUUAGAGUAAAAUGGGCUCUCACUUCCGAGAUGGUUGGCAGGCGAAAAGUUGUUGCUGGAUGCUUCACCGUUCAACUGCGGGAACUUGGUUGCAAGGCUUUUGUCGUAUUUACAUGAAUGCCAAGAAAGCAUGGAAGGGUCCUGGCUGUAUUGUUUGUAACAAUUGCUGUUGAGCUAAUGGUUGAAAACCAUCUUUGGUGUGAUUUGUGGCGGUAUGAUCCACAGAUAAUUUAGCUAAACAAAAUGCCACUUCAUUGCUCUGUGCAAUUUUAGUCAAACUAUCGCAGCUGGGCAUUGGUUCUAGCAGUGGUUGAAGAUUACCAGUGGACCAAGCGUGGUGUCAUGGGUCUGUUUGUAGUGGACUUUGUUCAUUACCUUUUAUUGUCUUUGUGACCCACACCUCCGCUUGAGAGUAAAUAUUCAGAUAUUUGUGCUCUAACUCUUCAUCGUUUUACAUAGGCGAGCGUGUUGAAAGUUAGGUGUUGGUAGAACAGUCGAGUUUUUGUUGAAACGUUCACUUUGUGAAAAAAAAAAAAUCGGUACAAUUUCGUCGUAGAACCACUGAUCCAGGCCUUUGGCAUGCAGGCAUUGGUAUUGUUGCUGUGAGCGUCUGUUGAAAACUGUGUCAUGAACGGCAGUGAAGUAGAUAGAGUUUCCAAAUCGGGGAAGCAUCUGCAGGCGGUUACGUUUGGUGUCAGCACGUCGUGGCAUUACAGGAAACCCUCUCCUCUUGAAUGCACCAACAUCUUUGUUCAGCGAAGUAUCCACUGCAUGAAAUACCGCCUGCAGGGUUGAGCGCCACUCACGUUACUGAAUUUAGUUGCUCACCUGAUAAUCCCGAGUUGCUCACCUAAGUAUACUUCGUGCAAACUAACACAAACAGAGCAUGCAACUGUCGAUGGCAAUAGUGCUUUUCUUAGAAUUGCGUAAAAGAUGUGCACAUAUGGGAAGUUACGAGAAAGUAGCACACGUUGCUUGAACAACUCACGAGACGGAACUUUUCUGCAAGCGUUUUACCUAAGCGAGCAAAAGCCACGACUUUAUCGAGAUUUUAUAUACAUUGCCUCCAUAAUUGGGCCAUGGUAAAGCUGGCCAAACUUGCGCAGAAGGUUGUCUGUGCUUCCAUAUGCUAAAGCACUUGCACGAAUGCUGUAAUAUUCGAUACAGUGUUCCUGUGUGUACCCGACAUUUAUUGCAUUUCAAGUCAAAAACUGUCAGCACUGUCUUUAUUGGGGCCAAACAUUGUGGACUUGCAUAUGCUUCGGCUAGCAGGACGUGUUUCAAACCUCUCUGGCUUGCAAUGCAACCUGCUUGAAAAAAAUUUGUGUGCCACUCGUGGGAAUGUGCCGAAACAUGUUCUCGAUGUCCAAAAACAUUUUUGCAUUUGACGCUUUUGCAAAAGCCUCUAUGCGUAACUUCUCCUGGCUGUCGUACGAUGUCACCUGUUCACCCGGGGCAGCUGCUUCAUCGCUCAUAAUGUGUUGUGUAUGUUCGUCCAGUAUGAGUGCGCGUCACGGUUACUAUUUUUGUAGUGUUGAGAGGCGGCAUGCGCUGUUUCGAGAAGAAAGCCCUCGUUGAUAUAUAUACAUGCACGGGUUGCACCGAAAGGUUGUGGAAAUAAAGCCAGUUAUUUCUAUACUCAUA
rnacentral:lncRNA from 1 species